AUUGAACGCUGGCGGCAGGCUUUACACAUGCAAGUCGAACGGCCGCGCGGGCUUCGGCCUGGCGGCGAAUUGCGAACGGGUGAGUAAUGCAUCGGAACGUGCCCAGUAGUGGGGGAUAGCCCGGCGAAAGCCGGAUUAAUACCGCAUACGACCUGAGGGUGAAAGCGGGGGACCGAAAGGCCUCGCGCUAUUGGAGCGGCAGAUGUCGGACGAGCUAGUUGUUGGGGUAAAGGCUUACCAAGGCGACGAUCCGUAGCUGGUCUGAGAGGAAGGCCAGCCAGAUGGGGAGUGAGACACGGCCGCGACUCCUAGGGGGGGAAGCAGCGGGGAAUUUUGGACAAGGGGGGCAACGCGGAUCCAGGCAUGCCGCGGGAGGGAAGAAGGCCUUCGGGUUGGAAACCGCUUUUGUUCGGGAAGAAAUCCUCUGGGCUAAGACCCCGGGGGGAUGACGGUACCGGAAGAAGAAGCACCGGCUAACUACGUG
rnacentral:rRNA from 1 species